GAAUUAUCCCUGUUACAUGAAUUUUUGUAAAGUUUAUGUUUUUGGCUUACUAAAUUAUGGUUAUUUAACAAUAAAGUUCUUUUGUAGCAAACAUACCAUGGAAUUAUGAUGUUUUGAACAGUUCAUGAAAAAAGUAUUAUCGAUACAUCCAAACGAUGUCCCUGAAUCUAGGGGACGUUAAAUAUAGUAGUCGGAACUGUGUUAUAAGGGCGGAAUGGAAAGGGGCACAGACGGGUGUCCAAUUGAAUUGAUCAAUUCAUGUUAUGCGUGUUGGGGGUCGCCCCCUCAGUACCGGCGGUAAUCGUUGGAUGAUAUCUUAUUAUUAUGUUAUGUUAUGUAUACACAGAAUUGUUUUGAUUACAGUUCAAGCCAUAAAAAGCUGAAGUUAAGGUAUUGAUUACAGUUCAAGCUAUGAAAAACUGAAGUUAUGAUUUCUGCUUUUCUCUGAUAAAAAGGAUUUUAAAAAUUCCAUGAUAGCUCAUGUAACUCUGAUAAUUCAUAAUCUCACACAAGCAGUGGCUUAUGUUUGUUGAAAUCUUUCUUUUCAGGUAAUCAGAAAUAGUAGAAGGACAGGCCGAGUAACUAUAACAUUAAGCUUACGUCGCGGUCAUGUAGUGGAAGGGAAAUGGAAAAAUGUAGCUCAUGUCUCCGUUAUUAAAAAGAAAAUCUAGUGACUUUUAUUUUUAAAUAUUGCUUCUGCAAAUGUUCAUGACUUACUGCGACUCAUCCGGAACAAGCAGAAUCAUUUCUUAGAUCUUCCUCUUGAAAUUCAGGAAAUUGUAGGACCGAUACCUGAAGGAUUUGAUGGCUAUUUUAGGAGUUGGUUUCCGAAAUUAUUGAUGGAAGUCUACAAAGUCCUGCAUAAGUACUGUAGAGGGGAAGAAGCAUUUAGCAAGUACUUCAAAGGUAGUGAGGUACAUGAGAUUGCAAAAUUAACGGUCUUGCGUCCCACUAAUUGAUGGAUAUGCGAUCAACUUCACUUCUAACUUGUGUGCAAAUGUAAAUAUGGCCGUAACUAGAUUAUAACUGAAGUUGUCUAUUAAUGUGAUUAACAUUUACAGACCAGAAUUUGAUAAAAAGAAAGUUUCGUUUUCCUUUGUAGAUGAGAGAAAAAAGGACAGAAAAUGCAGGAUACUGGUAUCUUUCUGGUUAAUGAUUUUACUCCACAUAAAUGGAGGGAAAGGAUUGUGCGUUACUCUCCAGCAAUGCUAGGUACCCCAAAAAUGACCCCGAAAGAGAAAUUAUUGGUUAAGAUUCACUUGGAUUUGGGUCCCACACAUCAAAGUGAAUCUCAACCAUUAAUUUCACAUUCGGAUUAAUUUUCAGGGUACAUAGACUUAUGGUUUACUCUUCUGCUCAUCUCUUCGGUUUGAGAAGGGGGAGAUGGAGAAUACCCUCUGGAGGAAGAGCGACUUGUGGACACCUCUUCAAUAGGCUGUUGCACCUGUCGUCCUGACACAUUUCUCGCACGAAUACGAGGAAGUGCAACACCUUCAGCAACGGGUACUUCGCCGGAUUGCCAGGCUAUUGUGACAGGGGAGCAUGCUCAGUAUCGUCUAGUCUGAGCAGUUGUUGAGAUAGAAGGUGCUGAUGUAAAUGGCGCGUUGAUAUUGGCAGCGGCUGCGCGAGUUCGGCGAUCAAUAAAACACAUGUAUGAAAGGGUAUAGCUCAACAAAUUGUGGGCUACUCUUGCUUUGCCUUCCAAGCAAGUACCCCGGCUGUUGAAAUCAAGAACGCGAUUAAUGCCCUCUAAAUGGACAGCACUGCUAAUUCGGCGAUGGCCGGUUUUGUUGGAACCUAGCCGUUCAUUGAGGAGGUGAAUGACUAUAAAAAGAAAGAAUGUGUGCAUUUUUAUAAAUUAUUGUACAAGUAUUUGCCCACUCCAAAUUUCACCUGCUCUAAAUUACUGAAAGCAUAUGAAAGUUGAUAAGCGAUCUUGUCGUUAAUACAAAAGAUAGAUACUUAGAGCAUCCGCAAUGGGAAUAAUCAAAAUCAAUAACCAAAAUAUGCCACGUCAGUAUUUGAUUAUCCAUUUAAUGCAUAAUCAAACUUAACAAACUUUACCUCCACAUUGGUUAUUUUUGCAUCCCUAGAAAAA